UGGGGAAUCUUAGACAAUGGGGGAAACCCUGAUCUAGCCAUGCCGCGUGAGUGACGAAGGCCUUAGGGUUGUAAAGCUCUUUCGCUAGGGAAGAUAAUGACGGUACCUAGUAAAGAAGCCCCGGCUAACUUCGUGCCAGCAGCCGCGGUAAUACGAAGGGGGCUAGCGUUGUUCGGAAUUACUGGGCGUAAAGCGCGCGUAGGCGGACUGGUCAGUUGGGGGUGAAAUCCCGGGGCUCAACCUCGGAACUGCCUUCAAUACUGCCAGUCUCGAGUCCGGAAGAGGUGAGUGGAAUUCCUAGUGUAGAGGUGAAAUUCGUAGAUAUUAGGAAGAACACCAGUGGCGAAGGCGGCUCACUGGUCCGGUACUGACGCUGAGGUGCGAAAGCGUGGGGAGCAAACAGGAUUAGAUACCCGCGUAGUCC
rnacentral:rRNA from 1 species